rnacentral:rRNA from 1 species
AGUGAACGCUGGCGGUAGGCCUAACACAUGCAAGUCGAACGGCAGCACAGUAAGAGCUUGCUCUUACGGGUGGCGAGUGGCGGACGGGUGAGGAAUACAUCGGAAUCUACUUUUUCGUGGGGGAUAACGUAGGGAAACUUACGCUAAUACCGCAUACGACCUACGGGUGAAAGCAGGGGAUCUUCGGACCUUGCGCGAUUGAAUGAGCCGAUGUCGGAUUAGCUAGUUGGCGGGGUAAAGGCCCACCAAGGCGACGAUCCGUAGCUGGUCUGAGAGGAUGGUCAGCCACACUGGAACAGAGACAGGGUCCAGACUCCUACGGGAGGCAGCAGUGGGGAAUAUUGGACAAUGGGGGCAAGCCUGAUCCAGCCAUACCGCGUGGGUGAAGAAGGCCUUCGGGUUGUAAAGCCCUGUAGUUGGGAAAGAAAAGCAGCACGUUAAUACCCCGCUGUUCUGACGGUACCCAAAGAAUAAGCACCGGCUAACUUCGUG